AUGCACAAGGUUCUCCAGGAGGCCACAGAGCGGUUCAGGGUUCGUCAUUGUGACCUCUUGGCGCGGACCGGCUGCCAAUUCAGCUGCGUGGAACAGACAAACCCAGACUGUCAGACAGUCUCAACAAGAGAGCCACAGAGAAGCUGGAGCAAGGAAAGCUCAUCUUCAGGACACAAAGGAGGGAGAGACCGGGAGUCCCUACAGAAACAGCAGAGGAUGUCAGACUACAUCACUUUGACUCCAAAGUGCAGAAGAAUUACGAAUUCUGGAGUGAGUUUGACUCCAAUGAAAACGCCUCUUCGUCCUGCAGAGAGAGGACAAGAGGAGAAGCGUGAGUGUCAGCUGAAGUCAAACCCGGACUGCGUACAGGAAAGAAAUAAGAGAAAAAGCUUCAGCUGUGAGGAGGUGGCUUACCUACUGAGGGGGGUGGAGACUUACGGUUCCUCUUGGAACUCCAUUUUGUGGUCUUAUCCCUUCAAACCAGGUCGAAGCAACGUGUCUCUGGCCAAGAAGUACAGCCUACUGAGGAACCGUAAAGUUAAGGAUUCUGUCUGUGAAUAAUCCUGACCUGAGACCUUGGUCCAGGACCCCAAAG
rnacentral:lncRNA from 1 species